rnacentral:snoRNA from 14 species
UGCACCUAAAAGCGUUUUCUUGCAAGCUUGUUAAAUGCUCUUGAAAAUCGUAGAUGUGUGCAAAAUCAAACAUUACAAUAGCAAGUGAUUUUAGUUUCUUUAACUCUAAUCCGUUUACAUUGUAAACAUUC